CCUGGAAGGUUAGUAACACAACCAGGCCCUGGAAGGUAACUAACACAGCCGGGUCCUGGAAGGUAAGUAACACAGUCGGGUCCUGGAAGGUAACUAACACAGCCAGGUCCUGGAAGGUAAGUAACACAGCGGCAGGUCCUGGAAGGUCAGUAACACAGCCGGGUCCUGGAAGGUCAGUAACACAGCCAGGUCCUGGAAGGUAGGUAACACAGCCAGGUCCUGGAAGGUCAGUAACACAGCCAGAUCCUGGAAGGUCAGUAACACAGCCGGGUCCUGGAAGGUCAG